CGUGCGAGCUAGCACUUUCGAAGAGAUCAAUCAGAUUGAGACUUCGAGUGAACUUUUUGUAGAGUCCAGAUACGUGUGCGGCUGUGAGAAACUAGUAAGAAUCCUCUUUACCAUGUCUCUCAGCAGUGACGAUCAUCGAUUUGUGCUCAGGUAUCAAGUUCUAAACUCAGAUUAGAGGUAGAUUUAAUCUACUGCUUAUAUGUAUGCAUGCA
rnacentral:lncRNA from 1 species